ACGUGUGCAUAUGUAGUAUAUGUGUGUCUGUGUGUAUAUAUGAGUGUGUGUAUACAUACACACAGACACACAUAC
rnacentral:miRNA from 1 species